rnacentral:rRNA from 1 species
UACGUAGGGUGCGAGCGUUAAUCGGAAUUACUGGGCGUAAAGCGUGCGCAGGCGGUUUUAUAAGCCAGAUGUGAAAGCCCCGGGCUCAACCUGGGAAUGGCAUUUGGGACUGUAAGGCUGGAGUAUGGCAGAGGGGGACUAGAAUUCCUGGUGUAGCAGUGAAAUGCGUAGAUAUCAGGAGGAAUACCGAUGGCGAAGGCAGGUCCCUGGGCCAAUACUGACGCUCAUGCACGAAAGCGUGGGGAGCAAACAGG